UCAGUGCUGUGGUCUGUCGCCGUGUGCAUCGUCACAAGGAGGAAAGUCCGGGCAACACAGAGCACCAUGCUUCCUAACGGGAAGGUGCUGUAAUGGCAGAGAUAAUGUAACAGAAAACUACCGCCCCUCACGGGGUAAGGGUGAAAAGGCGGGGUAAGAGCCCACCGGGUCGGUUGGUGACAAUCGAUGCCGUACAUCUCAUGGGUUGCAAGGCCAAAUAUACCGGCAGUUAAGGAUUGCUCGUCCAUUGUCGGGGGGUAGGCUGCUUCAGACGGCUGGCAACAGUCGCCGUAGAUAAAUGACAGACGCUCCAUCGGAGUACAUAACCCGGCUUACAUCAGCACUGAAUCA
rnacentral:RNase_P_RNA from 1 species